GGAUUAGGCAUGCAAGUCGAACGAGGAAGUGCCCCGUAANGCAAGCCUAGUGGCGAAAGGGUGAGUAAUGCAUUGAUAACCUGCCUUUGAGAUGGGAAUAACUGCGUUUCGAGCAAUCGGAACUACCGAAAGGGCUGCUAAUACCCAAUAAUACUAUAGGUGCAAAAGCACUUGUGGUCAAAUGCUAGGAAUUCUGUUCCUUGUGCUUAAAGAGGGGUUAAUGUCCUAUCAGCUAGUUGGUGGGGUAAUGGCCUACCAAGGCAAAGACGGGUAGCCGGCUUGAGAGGGUGGUCGGCCACACUGGGACUGAGACACUGCCCAGACUCCUACGGGAGGCUGCAGUCGAGAAUCUUUCGCAAUGCCCGAAAGGUGACGAAGCGACGCCGCGUGUGGGAAGAAGGCCUUCGGGUUGUAAACCACUGUCGGGAGUUAGGAAAUGCAGGUGCGUUAAUAGCGCACUCGCUUGACUAAGGCUCCAGAGGAAGCCACGGCUAACUCUGUGCCAGCAGCCGCGGUAAUACAGAGGCGGCAAGCGUUGUUCGGAAUUAUUGGGCGUAAAGAGCACGUAGGCGGCCUUGCAAGUCAGCUGGUGGAGCGGUGAAAUGCGUAGAUANCAGAAGGAACGCCGGCGGCGAAAGCGACUCUCUGGUCCGAAACGUGACGCUGAGUGUGCGAAAGCUAGGGGAGCAAACGGGAUUAGAUACCCCGGUAGUCCUAGCCGUAAACGAUGGGCACUAAGUAGAGGGGUUUUGAUUAUUUCUCUGCCGGACCUAACGCAUUAAGUGCCCCGCCUGGGGAGUACGGCCGCAAGGCUAAAACUCAAAAGAAUUGACGGGGGCUCGCACAAGCGGUGGAGCAUGUGGCUUAAUUCGAUGCAACGCGAAGAACCUUACCGGGGCUUGACAUGGUAGAAGUAGAAUCCUGAAAGGGUGACNGAUCGGUAUCCAGUCCGAAGCUAUCACAGGUGUUGCAUGGCUGUCGUCAGCUCGUGUCGUGAGACGUUGGGUUAAGUCCCCUAACGAGCGAAACCCUUGUCUUUAGUUGCUAACGGGUAAUGCUGAGCACUUUAGAGAGACUGCCGUCGUUAAGACGGAGGAAGGUGGGGACGACGUCAAGUCAUCAUGGCCCUUAUGUCCCGGGCUGCACACGUGCUACAAUGGUCGGUACAAAGGGAUGCUAAGUCGCGAGAUGGUGCGAAACCUAUAAAGCCGAUCUCAGUUCAGAUUGGAGGCUGAAACUCGCCUCCAUGAAGUUGGAAUCGCUAGUAAUCGCGGAUCACUACGCCGCGGUGAAUAUGUUCCCGAGCCUUGUACACACCGCCCGUCAAGCCACCCAAGCAAGAUGCACCCAAAAUCGCCUGCCUAACCCGUAAGGGAGGGAAGUGCCUAAGGUGUGUUUUGUGAGGAGGACUAAGUCGUAACAAGGUAG
rnacentral:rRNA from 1 species